rfam:Trachymyrmex zeteki contig5514, whole genome shotgun sequence.
UUCUCGGUAGUCUAAUGGCUCAAGGCGCUCGUACGGAAUACAAGAGAUCCGGGUUCGACUCCCGGCCGAGGUA